GACGUAGGGCGCGAGCGUUGUCCGGAAUUAUUUGGGCGUAAAGGGCUCGUAGGCGGUCUGUCGCGUCGGGAGUGAAAACUCAGGGCUUUAACCCUGAGCCUGCUUCCGAUACGGGCGGACUAGAGUUCGGCAGGGGAGACUGGAAUUCCUGGUGUAGCGGUGAAAUGCGCAGAUAUCAGGAGGAACACCGGUGGCGAAGGCGGGUCUCUGGGCCGAUACUGACGCUGAGGAGCGAAAGCGUGGGGAGCGAACAGG
rnacentral:rRNA from 1 species